rnacentral:rRNA from 1 species
AACGAACGCUGGCGGCAGGCUUAACACAUGCAAGUCGAGCGCCCCGCAAGGGGAGCGGCAGACGGGUGAGUAACACGUGGGAACCUUCCUAGAGGUACGGAACAACUCAGGGAAACUUGAGCUAAUACCGUAUACGCUCUUGCGAGGAAAGAUUUAUCGCCUUUAGACGGGCCCGCGUCGGAUUAGCUAGUUGGUGGGGUAACGGCCUACCAAGGCGACGAUCCGUAGCUGGUCUGAGAGGAUGAUCAGCCACACUGGGACUGAGACACGGCCCAGACUCCUACGGGAGGCAGCAGUGGGGAAUCUUGGACAAUGGGCGCAAGCCUGAUCCAGCCAUGCCGCGUGAGUGAGGAAAGCCUUCGGGUUGUAAAGCUCUUUUGCCAGGGACGAUAAUGACGGUACCUGGAGAAUAAGCCCCGGCAAACUUCGUGCCAGCAGCCGCCGUAA